GACGAACGCUGGCGGCGUGCUUAACACAUGCAAGUCGAACGGUAAGGCCCUUCGGGGUACACGAGUGGCGAACGGGUGAGUAACACGUGGGUGAUCUGCCCUGCACUUCGGGAUAAGCCUGGGAAACUGGGUCUAAUACCGGAUAGGACCACUGCCUGCAUGGGUGGUGGUGGAAAGCUUUUGCGGGGUGGGAUGGGCCCGCGGCCUAUCAGCUUGUUGGUGGGGUGAUGGCCUACCGAGGCGACGACGGGUAGCCGGCCUGAGAGGGUGACCGGCCACACUGGGACUGAGAUACGGCCCAGACUCCUACGGGAGGCAGCAGUGGGGAAUAUUGCACAAUGGGCGCAAGCCUGAUGCAGCGACGCCGCGUGAGGGAUGACGGCCUUCGGGUUGUAAACCUCUUUCAGCACCGACGAAGCGCAAGUGACGGUAGGUGCAGAAGAAGGACCGGCCAACUACGUGCCAGCCGCCGCCGUAA
rnacentral:rRNA from 1 species